GGGGAGCGUGACAGCUGGUGAGUUGUGGCCACCUCUGUGUAAGCCAUCAGCCCCAGGUGGGAGGUAAAUCAGCAGUCCCUAGGUCAGAUGGCACUGUCCCUGUCCCCAGGAUUGGCUGCUCUCGCCCCAGGAAGAAAUGAAAGUUGUGCAUCCAGUUAAGGAACGGACAUAGAUUCUCCUUACAAAGCUUGGUGGUUUAUGUCUGUAAUCGUAAUGCCCAGCGUGUUGGAGACAAAAGGAUGGCUGUGAAUUUGAAGCCAGUCUGGCUACAGGGACAAAGCCAAGCCUGUGUCUAGAGUUGUUGUUUUCUUCUAGUUUUUGUGUUUUACCUACAACUUAUAAAAACAACAACAAAAACAAAAACACUCUUGUUCUGAAGAGGUCAAGCAGGUCUGGAGGUUUACAGACGCCUACAUUCCUGAAACACAGCCUAGAAGAGGGCGGCUUUGUGUCCUGAUGUCAAAAGGUAGUCAGAGUCGUCGCACUUGGCAGUAGUGAUGUGGACACCGUUGCUCCUGUGCAGGCUUCAGCCUUACAGCCUGAGACACAGGAUGGAAACAAAGAGCCAGGCUCCCCUUGGGAGGCCUCAGUGAAGUACCAGUAACUCUUCCAACCUGACUCUCACGGGAAUUCUCAUCAGCCCCCACUACUCCCUGAGAACAUUUGGAGGGCACGAUAUCUCAACUUGCAGAGCAAGCGGACAUCAGUCUGUUCCCUACCCUCUCCCUGCCUCAGCACAGACUAUGGCACAACUCUGUCCAUCUGGCCGGCUGAGAUAGCAAUGUCUGAUCAGUCAGGUCUUUCUAGACACUCCUGGGGUGAUAAAGGCACUGGGCAUGGAGCAGACAGCAGGAGGAAACAGAAAGCAGGAUUGAGUCUGCUGUUGGCUAACCUGUUGUGAUUAAAAAGAUAAAGAAAUAUAGGGAUAUGGUCUAUGGGAGUGUGGUGAGGAAUGGGGGAAGGGAGUGCCUCGGUGGGCCCAAGCCAAGGGACCAGGUACAGGACAGUACAGUAUAGAAUAGAGUUUAUUUAGGGCCUGGGGAGGGGAGUUAAGAGGGUAGUAGAGGCAGAGAGAGAGAGAGAGAGAGAGAGAGAGAGAGAGAGAGAGAGAGAGAAAGGUAGAGGCCAGCCAUUACCAUGUGGAGAGAGGGGAGAAGGGAAUGGGAGUAGAGGGGAGAAGAGAAUGUGGAGAGGGGGAGGAAGAGGGGAAGAGGCAAGAGAGAGAGGCAAGAAGAAGAGUGGAAGGAGGAGGCAAGCAUCCCCUUUUAGAGUGGACCAGGCCUACAUUGCCAGGUAACUGUGGGGAUGGAGUCCAGAGUACCAACCUAACCUAAGGACCUAACUUCUUCCAUUCUCCUCAGGCCAGGUUCAGGAAAAGAAACCAAGCCUACAGCAAUGGCAGUCAUGGUGCUUCACGUGUGCAAAGGAAGAAAUACUCCAUACCCACUGCUAGUCCUGGGCUAGAUCUGGGGCCUUAGCCUGCAUCCAGGAAAUGGAAACUUUUGGCUUUUGGCCUCUUUGUAACCUGGUAGACUUGGCCUCCUAUGUAUAAGGACCCACCACCAUCACCACUACUGUUGCCUGCACAGGUCCAUCAUCUCUGACUUUUCCAUGAAUGGCUUCCAGGUUGAUGACCCAUAAGACUGUUUACCAGAGACCUUCAUCUACAGGGCACAUUGUUUGCCUGUCUCCAAGGUCACCAUAUGUUGUAUGCAGCUCCUGUGCUCACUCACCUCCGCUAGUUAUCUGAUAUUGCUCUGGCUCGGUGCGCAUGGGUUUUAUUGUUGGUUGUUUGUUUUUGGCUAAUCUCCACCAGGCCUUUUGACAGAGAUGGAUGCAACCUGAGUCUGCUUCAUGUACAUUACAAGCUGCCCCCAGAACUUGAAGGGAGCCUCAGAAGUUCAGCAGCCGGAGAGGCCCUCCUCUCUGCCAUAGCUUGUCCAAGAUUGAGGCUUUUCUGGGCUGGGAGGGGUGAGAAAGGCUCCAGACAGACGUGCAAACCUGUUUCACGGAAUGGAUUUACAUAUGAACAAGAGUCUUGUUCUGGGGCCACCACAAAGUAGCAUGAAGGUCAAAGGUCAGAGAUCACCCCCAUAUCACCCCAGGCUCUGUAUGUCCUUGAGAAUGGGAAAUGUGACCUUUCCUGCUCAUUCUAAUUUUUAUUGUGAUGAGAUCUGGGAACGACCUCUGACUCGGAAGGGGUUAAAGGUCACCUGACUUCCCUAAGGCUCUUGCAGAAGGAACCUGCUUGAUCCCCAGCCCUCGCAGGUUUCCGAGUCCUAACCCAGCACAAGGCCUGUAUCUCAUUUUAGUUCGGGGGCCCUGCAAGUCACGUGGAUUUUCCCAUCACUGCUUCUAUGUGGUGGAAAAACUCCUUUGGCUGCAACUGCGGUAUAGUGCUGAGGCCAGGAACGCGGCAAAUAUCGAAGGUCCAGAGCACGCACCACAACCAACCGAAAGCUCAGAGAGAAGUCAAAGAAAGCUAAUCCUUGAGUGUGUUGCGGUGACCAGGUGGCCACAGAAACCUCUGUGAGCAGGGAGAUGAGCCAGCUUUGUCCUGCAGAGGUCCCAGCAUAAGCGAAGGCUGUAAUUUUGCCAAAGUCGAGGAGUGGGGGUGGGUGCGUCUUAUUGUUACUCCAAGCAUUUUAGCUUCCCAGUACAAGACUGCACGCUGCAAAACAACGUUGAAACUCUGCGGAAGAUUGGCUAGUGAUUCGAAGCGCACAGUAAGACUAGAAAUGGCAGUGGGGGGGGGGGGGGGUUCGGGGGGAGACAGCAGUAGAGAGCCCUGCAGACACAGGCCAUGGGUGAGGGAACCAGCAAGGAGCCACCAUGUUUGGGGCCCUCUGCUACGAUAUUUUAAAACGGAUUUCAGAGUGUGCUGAGCAGAUGGUCACAGCAGACUGCUGUGCCAGGUGUGUUAAUGAGGCAAGUCAGUAGCAUUCCUGGAGUUACCAAGGAUACUCAGUUAAAGCGGGGCAGGAGCCUCAGGUGAAAACCUGGAAGCGCCGGCCUCACAUUUGCAUGACAAAAGGCCAAGACCUGGGGCUGUGCCAGGCUCCGCCUCCUUCUGCUGGACACGUGACUCCCUUGUUUGUUUUGUUUUUUUUCUCUUUUUGUUUCUCCCUCGGAGCGUCUUGGAGACCCGCUCUUUGCCUGUAACUAAGCAGCAGGCGUUUAUGCUCUAAAUAGACGGUGUUUGUAAUUUUUCACCCCAGUUACCCUAGAAAUCUCUCAAAUGACUUCUUUAUAUAAGCAGCCAUCUAACUCCAUCAGCACCACCCACUGGCCCUGUCCUCAGAGGAUAAUGAGCCAGGAUCGGCCAGCUUCCCUUGUUGCUGUUUCUUAAGCCCCCAUGGCAUAGCAGAGUCGUCCUCCCUUUUAUCUCCCUGUGUGCGUGUGCGUGUGUUGCGCAUGAGCAUAGUAUGAUAAUGCUACCAUACACCCACCGGGAGAUUCCGGUGAACAGGAUGGGGGCAGGCAGAAGGGGGAGCAACCAGGAGAAUCAGAAAUGGAGAGAGCCUUAUUUGCAACCUGUCAGGGGGCAUGGCUUUUUGUGUGUAAUAAACACGAGAUUUUUGGUCCCCUGCAAGCGUGGCACACACAUCUUCUAGUAUGUACCAUGCUACCAGGGAUCCUGGAACAUCACAACUCAGCACACAGUCAUUUCUUAGAAAUAUAUGUCCCCAAGUGCAUGUCCCUCAUGCCUGCCAACAUGUUCACUGCAGCUCAGGCUGCUAGGGACAGUGUGAUGAGGGGAACCCCUUGCAGCAAGCCCAAUGCCAUUAGCACUGGAGUGCUUGGGCAGUUAAGUGUGUAUCCCUAGUAACUCCUUAGUCAAAACCAACCCUCUGUUUCAGUCAUGAAAUGUAGCUGAGAGACUGUGAGACGGUCCAUCAGAAGGAAGGACAUGAUUUUUCUACUGCCCAGAAUUCGGGAAUUCGGGACCAGGGAGCUACCACCACUGUGGACUGAGUUCCUGAAAAAGUUGUAUCUUUGUUUAGGACUCUGGGGGUUUAAUAAGAACUUCAUAAUUGGGUAGAGUUGGAAUGUUGCAGGUCCAGAGCCAGAAAUAUAUCUGGCUCUUUUAUAGGCAUUUACCUACCCCUAUAUCUGACCUAAAACUCUUUAGACCACCAGAAAAAAAAAAAAAAAAAAAACUUGGAAUGUGUUAACCUAGAAAACUGUUAGCUUCCAUCAACAGGAAGCUAAACAUGUGAUCAGAUAGCAUCUGGAAUGAUAACAAAGGUUUCCUAGUGCCUUACCAAUAUAAUAGAAGGUGAAUAAAUGUACAGCUUUCUAUUCUGUGACUAACAUAAAUAUGUGUAACUUCUACUUGUCACUUAGGGCAACCCGAAAUAGUGUUUGCAAGCCACAAGCAUUCAUAUUUGUCUCAGAAUAAACUAUGUCUCAUUC